rnacentral:rRNA from 1 species
UACGUAGGGGGCUAGCGUUGUCCGGCCUCCUUGUUCUUCCCUCUCUUUUAGGCGGUCCGGUAAGUCCGCUGUGAAAGUCGGGGGCUCAACCCUCGGAUGCCGGUGGAUACUGUCGGGCUUGAGUACGGAAGAGGCGAGUGGAAUUCCUGGUGUAGCGGUGAAAUGCGCAGAUAUCAGGAGGAACACCAAUUGCGAAGGCAGCUCGCUGGGACGUUACUGACGCUGAGACGCGAAAGCGUGGGGAGCAAACAGG